UACGGAGGGGGCUAGCGUUGUUCGGAAUUACUGGGCGUAAAGCGCACGUAGGCGGCUUUGUAAGUUAGAGGUGAAAGCCCAGGGCUCAACCCUGGAAUUGCCCUUAAGACUGCAUCGCUUGAACAUCGGAGAGGUAAGUGGAAUUCCGAGUGUAGAGGUGAAAUUCGUAGAUAUUCGGAAGAACACCAGUGGCGAAGGCGACUUACUGGACGAUUGUUGACGCUGAGGUGCGAAAGCGUGGGGAGCAAACAGG
rnacentral:rRNA from 1 species